GCAUGGAUAAAUUCUGCAUGACCUUGUGGUAGAUCUUGCAGCCAGACACCAUGCUAAAGUAAACCCCACGUGUGCUUUUCUAUAUGGCGUUCCAUGUUUUGGCAGCGUAUUGGCACUGUUGUGAACAAAU